GGGUGUGUCUGGAAAGAUGGCAUGAUGGGGUGGAGCAGGUGCGAUGCCAGUCCUCACACGUUGGGUAGAGGCCCUGAGAACAGCUUACCCAGCAGGGACUUCCUGGUGCUCCGUGCCAACUGAAAUGAUACUGAUGAUGACCAACCAUGAGCAGUGAGAGACACUAGGUUAUAACCAUGAGCAGUGACACUAGGUUAUAACCAUGAUGAGUGAGAGAGACACUAGGUUAUAACCAUGAGCAGAGACAGAGACACUAGGUUAUAACCAUGAUCAGUGACAGAGACACUAGGUUAUAACCAUGAUCAGUGAGAGAGACACUAGGUUAUAACCAUGAUCAGAGACACUAGGUUAUAACCAUGAUUAUAGAGAGAGACUAGGUUAUAAUCAUGAUCAGUGAGAGAGACACUAGGUUAUAACCAUGAUGAGAGAGAGACACUAGGUUAUAACCAUGAUCAGAGACACUAGGUUAUAACCAUGAUGAGAGAGAGAGAGACACUAGGUUAUAACCAUGAGCAGAGACACUAGGUUAUAAUCAUUAUCAGUGAGAGACACUAGGUUAUAACCAUGAUCAGGGAGAGAGAGAGAGACACUCGGUUAUAACCAUGAGCAGAGACACUAGGUUAUAACCAUGAUCAGGGAGAGAGACACUAGGUUAUAACCAUGAGCAGAGACACUAGGUUAUAACCAUGAGCAGAGACACUAGGUUAUAACCAUGAUUAGGGAGAGAGACACUAGGUUAUAACCAUGAGCAGUGAGAGAGACACUAGGUUAUAACCAUGAGCAGAGACACUAGGUUAUAACCAUGAGCAGAGACACUAGGUUAUAACCAUGAGCAGAGACACUAGGUUAUAACCAUGAUUAGGGAGAGAGACACUAGGUUAUAACCAUGAGCAGUGAGAGAGACACUAGGUUAUAACCAUGAGCAGAGACACUAGGUUAUAACCAUGAGCAGUGACAGAGACACUAGGUUAUAACCAUGAGCAGAGACAGAGAGACACUAGGUUAUUACCAUGAUCAGAGACACUAGGUUAUAACCAUGAGCAGAGACACUAGAUUAUAACCAUGAUUAGGGAGAGAGACUAGGUUAUAACCAUGAACAGUGAGAGAGACACUAGGUUAUAACCAUGAUGACUGAGAGAAAGACACUAGGUUAUAACCAAGUUUAGGGAGAGAGACACUAGGUUAUAACAAUGAGCAGUGAGUGAGAGAGACACUAGGUUAUAACCAUGAUCAGGGAGAGAGAGACACUAGGUUAUAAUCAGGUUAUAACCAUGGUGAGGAUAGGAGGCCGUGUCUAGAGCCUGGUUUAGAUCAUGUGCUAGUUCUGUUCAUGCAGUAAUAUCCCAGCAGUACAUUUCAUUUGUUUUCCAUAAAAUCUUUUUUCGUGUGUGUG